rnacentral:rRNA from 1 species
UACGUAGGGGGCAAGCGUUGUCCGGAAUCAUUGGGCGUAAAGAGCGUGUAGGCGGCUCGGUAAGUCCGCUGUGAAAGUCCAGGGCUCAACCCUGGAAUGCCGAUGGAUACUGUCGAGCUAGAGUCCGGAAGAGGCGAGUGGAAUUCCUGGUGUAGCGGUGGAAUGCGCAGAUAUCAGGAGGAACACCAAUAGCGAAGGCAGCUCGCUGGGACGGUACUGACGCUAAGGCGCGAAAGCGUGGGGAGCGAACAGG